UAAGAACCCACCUUUGAGGAUGCA
rnacentral:piRNA from 1 species